rnacentral:lncRNA from 1 species
UUAUGUAAAUCAUCCAUACUUGUAUAGUGGACUAGAUGCUCCAUGGAUUAUCAAGUUGGGCUAAGGUCUAUAGGAUGCUCCAUGGGAGUUACAAACCCAUGGGUCAUGGAAAUGAAGAGUCAUGUCACAUUAGGGUUUACAUGGUGAAACCGUAGAUGUAACACCCUAUAUAAAGAAUAUGAAGCUCACCAAAAAUCGACUACUAGAUGCAAUAUAGAGGGAAAGCCUAUUUCUAAGUGUGACAUUCUCUCUUAAAAAUUUAUUCCAAGAGCAUUUGGUGUUGUGUGAAACAUUUAAGGCAUCACACUUGGGGUGCUAGGCUCUCAAGGUAUUUCAAGGAAUCAAAUCAACUACAAGGUAUGUAAUUCUAGCCAUCUUUUAUAAUAAAAGUUCCCUAUGUAUGCUAGAUAGGAUUAUGAACCUUGGAAAUCAUAUUUUGCAUGUAUUUUAGACAAACAUAGAUCCAAGGUUUUCUAGGGUUGCAUGUACACUUAGGGUUGUUAGAAUGCUCAUAACCCAUCAGUGGUAUCAGAGCCUAGGCUUGUUUUUUAAUACUUGAUGCAAAAUAGUGUAAAAAUCGUUUUUUUAGCUGUCUGCACAGGGGACUCGACGAGUCCAUUGGGGGACUCGACGAUUCCAGGUGAAGCUGCAUCCAACUCAGCGAGUCAGUUCGUGCACUCGACGAGUUAGCCAGGCAGAGUGCAGAAUUUUGAUUUUUGCUGCUAGAAAUGGACUAGAAACAUUACCAUAAACGGUUUUGGUGUUUUAAAACUUGUUUAAGAUGGUGUAAUGGUUGUUCUAAUCCAUUUACAAUGGCUAAUAUCAAAAUUACAUGAUUAUAUGUGUUCAUAUGUUCUUGAAAUUUUGAUAUGAAUAUUCAUGUUCUUAUGAGUUCUUGAUAGAUCAUAGGAAUUACUUGAUUAAUGCUUAAUUCAUGAUCUUUAUGUGUUUUAAUGGAGUCCAUAACUUGUCCUCAAGUUAUGGAUAACCAAAAGUCUCUUUGUUUUAAACCCAUUAAAAGAACACAUAAGUUACAAAAAUGAAGAGUCUUCAUUUUAAUAACUCAUAAGUUAUGAAUUGAAGAGUUUUGUUAAGUUACAAAACUUGCCAUCAAGUUUUGGAACAUGUAAAGUCAUCUAAUAAUCUUUAGUUCCAACCCCUAGAUUUUUAAAAGUUAAAAAUCAACGCUUAUACUUUAUAAUAUUAUAAGUUAAUAUAUAUAUAUAUAUAUAUAUAUAUAUAUGUGUGUGUNGUGUGUGUGUGUGUGUGUAUGUAUAAGAGAAAGUCGUCUUACCAUUAGUAUGCCUCAUUCACGAAGUCGGUCUAUAAGGGGGGUAUAAGGUUGCUGCCUAUAAAAGGGUAGCUUAAUGGGUGUCCACUCUCACCCACCGCUUCCUUGAUCGGUGGAGGGUCGUUAGCGGAACGGGUAGGACAAGGACUUAUAAAACUCUCAUUAAAAGUAUAUUGAAUAAUAUAAAGUAACUACAUGUUUUAUUAAAUUCCCAAUCUUAGUUACUUUAGGAAAAUGUGAAUGAGGUGCUAAUCCAUGAAAUUACACUUUACACUUUGUUUAAGUCGUAGUGGAGCGUGUGUGGUUAACCGACACACUAACUUGGACUUAACAAGGUAGGUAAAUGGUGACUUAAGGUUUAUUAUAGGUUGGUGGAGCGUGUGUGGUUAACCGGCAGAUCGAUUGAGUGAUAAACUUUAAGGGUACCAAGUAAAUUUGCAUGAUUACUUCACACAUCGUUUUGUGAUCCUCGGUAUCCCAAUCACAAAACUUGGAGGGCACACUUGAGAUUGAAACAUGCAUUUGAAAAGUUCAUUGAAUCUCAAAAGAAUCUAGGAAUUUAUAAGAACCAAUUAAAACCUAAUAAUUUAUAUUUCGGUUUUUGGUGGAAAUUGGUGAAUCGUCAUUCACCUACCUUUCAAAUAUGUUAUAGCUUAGAUUACGACAUCCCUCUUCUAAGUUAUGAUAUAUUGUGAUUGGAUCCUAGCCUUAAUAUUACAUUUGGGUGUUUUAUUAAGAACUAUCUUUAUAUCAAAACUAAACUUGUUCUAUUCUUUUUCAGAUGUCUUCCAACAACACUGCUUCUGGCUCAAACCCUAUUGGCUCUUUUUCCCUCAUGAACCUAUGUGGGAGGGUCAUCUUUGAUGGUUCCAACUUCAUGGAUUGGAUCCGGAACAUCAGGAUGGUGACUUGCUACGAGGACAAGGAAUAUGUCCUCGAUAAGGAGCUAAAGGAGAUCGAUGAGUCCAAUGUUACUCCCCAAGAGAUCGCUGACUUCCGGAAUCAUGAAAGAGAUGCCACCAAAGUGGCAUGCAUCAUGAUGGCCACCAUGACAGCUAAACUCCAGAAGUCCUAUGAAGACUACUACCCUUUUGAGAUGCACCAAGAUAUGAUGGAAAGAUACCAUCAGAGUGCUCGUCAAGAGCGAUAUGAUAUAAUCUCCUCCAUGAUAACAACCAGGAUGAAGGAUGGAGAUUCCGUCAUGAGCCACAUGCAGAAAAUGCAAAUGUAUGUGGAUCGUUUGCUGAAGCUUAAUGUGAACUUCCCCGAGGAGCUAGCAAUAGAUAUUAUUUUGAACUCCUUACCCUCGUGUUAUGAUCAAUUCUACAUGACAUACCACAUAAGGAAGAAGUCACACUCAGCAAACUUCAAGGACUCCUAAAGACCACAGAAACAGGUCUUAAAGGUAAGUCGGUUGUUAACACUCCUACUCCUACUCCAAACUCUGUCCCUGUCCUGGCAAUCGGGAAUGGUAGAGGGAAGAAGAGGAAGAGCCCUUCGAAGGGUACAAGGGUAAGACCCUUGAUGGCUCUUCCUCAAGUGGAACCAAGAAAGGUUUUGUCACUACUUCUUCUGAACCAAAAGAGGUUGAAUGCUUCUAUUGCCAUGAAAAGUCGCAUUGGAAGCGGAAUUGCCCAAAGUACCAGCAAGAUGUGAAGGAUGGGAAAUUCAAACCCAACCAUGCAGGUAUUUACACUAUUCCAUCUAAUAACUCACCCUAUUCUAACUCUUGGGUCCUUGAUACCGGUUAUGGUUUUCAUAUCUAUUCUGAUUUGUAAGGACUAGAAGAAGUGAGAAUGUGGAGCAUGGAAAGAUAAACUUGAUCUUGGGGAAUCAGAAAGCUUCACUUAUCACCAAGAUUGGAGUUUAUUCUUUGUUGCUAAGUAGUGGGUUUAUUUUAGAUUUGAAUAAAUGUUGUUAUUCGCCAGAAAUGGCAAGAAACAUUAUUUCCUUUCAUGCUUUGUACAAACAAGGGUUUACCUUUUCUUUUGAUAAUGAAAUUGGUGGAAUAAAUGCUUUCUUUAAUAAUGUUCUUUAUUUUAAAGCAUUACCUUGUGAUGGUGUGUAUGAAUCUGUAUCUGUUGUCGAUAAUCUAAGAAAUAAUGUGUUGUGUAUUGAUUCUUCUAUUAAUAAUAACUUUGAUAAAGCAUCAUUAUGGCAUUGUCGUCUUGGACAAGUGAGCAAGAAAUGCAUAGGCCAACUCCAAAAUGAUGGAGUCUUGGAGUCAUUUGACCUAAAGUCAGAUGAUAGUUGUGAAUCAUGCUUACUUGGAAAAAUAACAAAUUCACCCUUCACUGGUUCUUGUGCUAGGGGUGAAGGUUUGUUGGAUCUAGUACACACAGAUGUGUGUGGACUCUUCAAAUCUGCCACAAGGGAUGCUAAUCGUUAUUAUUUGACUUUUACUUAUGAUUAUAGUAGAUAUGGAUAUGUCUAUUUAAUCAAGCAUAAGUCAGAGGCUUUUGAAAGGUUUAAAGAGUUUAAACAGGAAGUCAAGAAUCAAUUGGGCAGGAACAUUAAGAUGCUUCGAUCCAAUCAUGGUGGUGAGUAUCUUAGUACAUAGUUCCUUGACUAUCUUAAGGAAUGUGGGAUUAUCUCACAAUUGACACCUCCCAGGACACCACAACUUAAUGGUGUAGUUGAGAGACGCAAUCAAACCUUGUUGGAUAUGGUUCGUUCCAUGAUGAGUCGAGCUUCGCUACCAAUCUCAUUUUGGGGGUAUGGCUUAGAGACUUCCGCCCAUAUCCUUAAUCCGGUCCCUACAAAGAAAGUUGCCAAAACUCCUCAUGAGAUGUGGACUAGUAAAGUUCCCAAACCAGACCACAUCAAGAUUUGGGGUUGCGAGGCUUUCAUGAGAUGCAAGACUCAUGAUAAGCUCGAACCUUGAAGUAAGAGGUGUAUCUUCAUCGUCUACCCACAUAAAUCCUUUGGUUACCUCUUCUACAGACCUAGUGACAAUGUGCUCUUUAUAGCAAGGAGGGGUGUCUUUCGAGAGAGAGAGAGAGAGAGAGUUCAUAAGCCAAGGAAACAGUGGGAUGAAAAUUGACCUUGAAGAACUUCAAGAGUCAAGUGGUGAAGGAACUUCAAACCCUAGCACUCAAGCUGAGGAGGAAACUCCUGUUAAGCCAAUUGAUAAGUCUGUACCUCUAAGGCAUUCCAUAAGGGUUAGGAAUGCACCUGAGCACUACUAUGGUUUCCAUAUUACUGCGGAAGGUGAGACACUUAUCAGUGAUGAGACAUUGGUAAGUCUGGAUGAACCUAACAACUAUGCGGAAGCCAUGGUAGGCCUCGAGUCUGCUAAAUGGAAAGAGGCAAUGGACAACGAGAUACAGCCCAUGUAUGACAAUCAAGUUUGGAACUUGGUUGACAAUGUACCAGGUCGUAAGACAUUUGGGUGCAAAUGGAUCUUUAAGAAGAAUACCAAAAUGGAUGGUAAUGUACACACGUAUAAGGCACGACUGGUUGCAAAGGGCUUUUAUCAAACUCCAGAAGUUGAUUAUGAUGAGACCUUUUCACUAGUUGCAAAGGUUAAGUCCAUUAGGAUUGUGUUAGCCAUCUCUGCAUUUCAUGAUUAUGAAAUAUGGAAAAUGGAUGUCAAAAACGCCUUCCUGAAUGGAAGUUUGGAUGAAGAUGCUUACAUGUGUCUGCCAGAGGGUUUUGUCAGUAUAGAAUGCCCUAGUAGAGUGUGUAAGCUCGAGAAAUCCAUUUAUGGAUUGAAACUUGCACGUCACAGAUGGAAUCUUUGCUUCGAUGAGAAAGUAAAAGAGUUUGGCUUUUCGAGGAGUGAAGAUGAAUCUUGUGUCUAUGUCAAGGCUAGUGGGAGUAUAGUUAGCUUUUUGUACUGUAUGUGGAUGACAUAGUACUCAUAGGAAAUGACAUCCUAACCUUGCAGGAAGUAAAAUCCUGGCUUGGGAAGUGUUUCUCUAUGAAAGACCUAGGAGAAGCUGCCUAUAUUCUAGGGAUAAGGAUUCUGAGAGACGAGAGUAAAAGACUAAUUGUAGACUUAGUCAGAGUACCUACUUAGAUAAGGUGCUAAAGAGGUUCAGCAUGCAGGAUUCCAAGAAAGGAGAGUUACCCAUCUAGAGUAACGCCAAACUGACUAAAACUCAGAGCCCGAGUACUGAGGCUGAGAUAGUAGAAAUGAGUUGAGUACCAUAUGCUUCUGCAGUAGGCUCGAUCAUGUAUGCUAUAACUUGUACUCGUACUGAUGUAGCCUUUUCUUUGAGCAUGGUUAGCAGAUAUCAAGGGAACCCUGGCAAGGCUCACUUGACUGCGGUAAAGAAUAUCCUUAAGUACCUGCGGAGGACUAAGGACUGGGUCCUUACCCUCGGUGGGAGUGAUGACUUGAGAGUUGUAGGGUAUAGUGAUGCUAGCUUUCAGAUUGAUAAGGAUAAUUUCCGCUCUCUGCAGUCAGGCUAUGUCAUUACCUUAAACGGAGGAGCAAUCACUUGGAAGAGUUCCAAGCAGGAGAUAGUGGCUGAUUCAACUUGCGAAUCAGAGUAUAUAGCAGCAAGCGAGGCAGCAAAUGAGGCGAUAUGGCUGAAAAACUUCAUUGGAGACCUUGGAGUUGUACCAGUUAUAAAAGAGCCAAUGGUAAUUUUCUGUGAUAAUGAAAGUGCAGUUGCCUUAGCCAAGGAACCAAGGGAUCACGGGAGAUCCAGACACAUCGACAGAAAAUACCAUUUCUACAGACAUCGAAUAGAAGAAGGACUCCUCGUGGCAAAGAGGGUAUCAUCGGAUGAGAACCCAGUAGAUCCCCUCACGAAGGGACUGAGUCGGGUUAAGCAUCUCCAACAUGCUCGGAGCAUAGGGCUGAAGGAUGAUAUUAGUUUUAGUAGUUAGAUAAUUUUGAAAUUUGUAAAGUGUAAUUGACAUUUCAUGAUGAAUAAAAGUUGUGUUUAUUUAUGAGUAAAGUGUUGCUAUCUUUUGUCAGUCGUUUACUAUAUUUCUUUUGCAUGUUUUGACUUCCAGAAUAAUUAUGUUUGGUAUAUCAUAUUAUUUGAAUUCUCCACAGUCGGUCAUAUGUUGGAAGUAGGUAUGAAUCAAGACUUUCAUGAGAUGGUUGCAGAGGUCUAAGUUGUUGGACAUGGCUAUAACACUCAUGAGUGCUCAUAAAUUUUGAGCAUUGGAUUCAACCCACGCUCACUGGUAUCACUUCAUGGAAUUUAUCUCGAGUGAUCGUGAGACGGUAAUAUCAUAUAAGUCUUCAAACCUAGAGAUAUGACUUGUUGCGUAUGAGUUGGUUAUGCAUUGAUCGUACGAAAACGCAUUGGUAACUUGAUGUUAUAAAACCUACUUUUCUGUGUGAUUCAACAAGUAGUAGAAUAAGCAUAUGAGUCGAAGUUUAUCUGUUCCUUCUUGGAUUAGAAGCGAUAUAUGGGCCCCUCGAUGAUUUUGUUUUGACCUAUGUACCGGGCCCGGUCAGAACCGAAUUAAUGUGUUCAAUUUAGUUCUAUGUCAAACAAAUCGGAAAUCAGGAAACAAACUGCUGGACAAUAAGUAAGACAUUGUUCCAUGUAUUUGUCCGGCUGAUAUUCAGAACAGAGGAUUAUAUGAUCACUUAUCUUAAAUGGCGUAUCAUCAUCUUCUCAGUUCCAAGAGACCUUGGAAGAGCUACGAUUGUUGAUCGGUUCAUGAAGUCAUACUUGCAGUUAUAGUUAUUAGACUUAUCCAAGUGGGAGACUGUUGGAUAAGGUGUUUAAGUCCAUAACUAUAUUUGGUAUGUACUUGACCCGACCCGGCAUGGUCCAUUUAGGUUGCAUGGCAUAAUGCAUUUGGAUAAACUAAAAUGAGAGAAAUAAUACUUAUGGUUUAUUAAUAUAUUAUAAGUUCUAAUAUAUUAAUAAUAUUAUUUAAUUAGUAUUGAUCAAGAAUUAAUUUAGAAUUAAUUAAGUGAUCAAAAGAUGACUAAUUAAAUAUAUGGGUUGAUUAUGUAAAUCAUCCAUAACUUGUAUAGUGGGCUAAGAGGCUCCAUGGAUUAUCAAGUUGGGUUAAACCCAUAGGAUGCUCCAUGGGAGUUACAAACCCAUGGGUCAUGGAAAUGAAGAUUCAUGUCACAUUGGGGUUUAGAUGGUGUAACCCUAGAUGUAACACACUAUAUAAAGAAUAUGAAGCUCACCAAAAAUCGACUACUAGAUGCAAUAUAGAGGGCAAGACGAUUUCUAAGUGUGACACUCUCUCAAAGUUUAUUCCAAGAGCAUUUGGUGUUGUGUGAAACAUUUGAGGCAUCACACUUGGGGUGCUAGGCUCUCAAGGUAUUUCAAGGAAUCAAAUCAACUACAAGGUAUGUAACUCUAGACAUAUUUUAUAAUAAAAGUUCCCUAUGUAUGCUAGAUAGGAUUAUGAACCUUGGAAAUCAUAUUUUGCAUGUAUUUUAGACUAACAUAGAUCCAUGGUUUUCUAGGGUUGCAUGUACACUUAGGGGUGUUAGAAUGCUCAUAACACAUCAAAAGAAGAGGAAGCUUCACACAAGAGCCGCAAGGGAAAGUCUCUUGAUAGAUCCUCUUUAAGUGGGACCAAAGUUGGUCCUACUAAUCCCUCCUCCAAUUCGAAUGAUGCAGAGUGCUUCCACUGUCAUGAAAAAGGGCACUGGAAACGAAGCUAUCCCAAGUACUUGUAGGACAUAAAGGAUGGCAAGAUAAGUGUAAGUCCCAAAAAUUGCUUGUGUAUCAAUCAUAUCCAAUUGAUGGUGCGGAAUCCCAAUCAAUUGGAUGAUGUCAGAUCAAAUAGAAGAGAAGGAGAAGAAGAAUUAAGAUGAAUCUAAUGAUGUAUUUAAUAUGAAUGAUGCUCCUUACAAUAGAUUCAUGCACACACACUUCUUUUCUCUA